AUCUAAGGAAGAGGCGCAAAAUACAUUAGUAUAGCUAUUGAGUUGAUUAAGCAACUGUGAUUUAGUUAAAAAGGGUAUUUUGCCGAAGUAAUGAAUUACUUAUUUAAUUUAUUAUUGGGGACCAGUUUAAUAGACUGGUAACUGUCGUAGUUUUCUACGGGGUGCUUUUAAGGUA
rnacentral:ncRNA from 2 species